ensembl:snRNA Gm22054 predicted gene, 22054
AUACUUGCCUGAUAGGGGAGACACCGCGGUCAUGAAUGGGAUUUUCCCAGGGGAGGCUUAUGCAUUGCAUUCCAGAUGUGCGUACUCUGGUUUCCCCAAAUGUGGGAAACUUAAGUGCAUGAUUAAAAUUUGAAUAAUAAUGAUAUGGCCCAUCU